AGAACGAACGCUGGCGGCAGGCCUAACACAUGCAAGUCGAACGCUGUAGCAAUACAGAGUGGCAGACGGGUGAGUAACGCGUGGGAACCUUCCCAGUGGUGCGGAAUAGCUCAGGGAAACUUGAGGUAAUACCGCAUAAGCCCUUAGGGGGAAAGAUUUAUCGCCAUUGGAUGGGCCCGCGUCGGAUUAGCUAGUUGGUGAGGUAAUGGCUCACCAAGGCAACGAUCCGUAGCUGGUUUGAGAGAAUGACCAGCCACACUGGGACUGAGACACGGCCCAGACUCCUACGAGAGGCAGCAGUGGGGAAUCUUGGACAAUGGGCGCAAGCCUGAUCCAGCCAUGCCGCGUGAGUGACGAAGGCCUUAGGUUGUAAAGCUCUUUUGCCGGGGACGAUAAUGACGGUACCCGGAGAAUAAGUCCCGGCUAACUUCGUGCCAGCAGCCGC
rnacentral:rRNA from 1 species